UACGUAGGGGGCAAGCGUUAUCCGGAUUUACUGGGCGUAAAGCGCGUGUAGGCGGCUGCGAAAGUCGGUUGUGAAAUCCCUCGGCUUAACCGAGGAACUGCAGCCGAAACUUCGUGGCUAGAGUGGCAGAGAGGAAAGUGGAAUUCCCGGUGUAGUAGUGAAAUUCGUAGAUAUUGGGAAGAACACCGGUGGCGAAGGCGGCUCACUGGCUCGUAACUGACGCUCAUGCACGACAGCGUGGGGAUCAAACAGG
rnacentral:rRNA from 1 species